GGAGGAAUAUUGCACAACGGGGGGAACCCAGGUGCAGCAACGCCGCGUGAGUGAAGAAGGCCUUCGGGUUGUAAAACUCUUUUCUGAGGGAUGAGGAAGGACAGUACCUCAGGAAUAAGUCUCGGCUAACUACGUGCCAGCAGCCGCGGUAAGAAGGAGGCGGCGAGCGUUAUCCGGAUUUACUGGGCGUAAAGGGCAAGUAGGCGGCAUAACAAGGCAGUUGUGACAGAGCCCGGCUCAACUGGGAGAGGACGAAUGAGACUGUUAAGCUAGAGGACAGGAGAGGGGAGCGGAAUGCCUUGUGUAGCGGUGGAAUGCUCAGAUACAAGGAAGAACACCAGUGGCGAAGGCGGCUCUCUGGCCUGAUCCUGACGCUGAAGAGCGAAAGCUAGGGGAGCGAACG
rnacentral:rRNA from 1 species